GGAGUUAGAUACGUGAUCGCUGGUAGCGAGGGAAUCACUCAUGAUUCUCGAGCUGCGAGAGGAAAGUCCGGGCAGCACAGGGCAGGAUGCUGGCUAACGGCCAGGCGGCGUGAGCCGACGGAAAGUGCCACAGAGAAUAGACCGCCGAUGGCUUCGGCACAGGCAAGGGUGAAACGGGGAGGUAAGAGCUCACCGCGGGGCUGGNGACAGACCUGGCANGGUAAACCCCAUCCGCUGCAAGUCCAAAUAGGAUCGUAAUCAGGCGGCCCGUCUGGCGAUCGGGUAGGAUGCUGGAGGUUGCUGGUAACAGCAGCCCUAGAUAAAUGAUCACGACUCUUAAGAGAGAACAGAACCCGGCUUAUUUCCGACUCCGCAU
rnacentral:RNase_P_RNA from 1 species